rnacentral:rRNA from 1 species
GUUUGAUCCUGGCUCAGGACGAACGCUGGCGGCGUGGAUUAGGCAUGCAAGUCGCGCGACGGGUCCUUCGGGCUACGGAGCGGCGAACGGGUGAGUAACACGUGAAUAACCUGUCCCUACAUUCCGGAUAAUUGGCCGAAAGGCCUUGUAAUACGGGGGAGGGUCGUUGAGGGGCAUCUCUUGACGAAGGAAGGCGCAAGCCGUGCGGGGAGGGGUUCGCGGAUUAUCAGCUAGUUGGUGGGGUAACGGCCUACCAAGGCGACGACGAUUAGGUGGUCUGAGAGGAUGGUCACCCACAUUGGAACUGACACACUGUCCAGACUCCUACGGGAGGCUGCAGUCGAGAAUCUUGGGCAAUGCACGAAAGUGUGACCCAGCGACGCCGCGUGGAGGAUGAAGGACCUCUGGUUCGUAAACUCCUUUUAAGGGAGAAGAAGCUCUGACGGUAUCCCCUGAAUAAGCCACGGCUAACUACGUGCCAACAGCCGCGGUAAUACGUAGGUGGCAAGCGUUGUCCGGAUUUACUGGGCGUAAAGCGUAUGCAGGCGGACCUUUAAGUAUGAAGUGAAAGGUUGGAGCUCAACUCUAACACUGCUCCCUAUACUGGAGGUCUUGAGUGCCGGAGAGGAAGAUGGAACUACACGUGUAGCGGUGAAAUGCGUUGAGAUGUGUAGGAACACCAAUGGCGAAAGCAAUCUUCUGGACGGAUACUGACGCUGAGAUACGAAAGCCAAGGUAGCAAACAGGAUUAGAUACCCUGGUAGUCUUGGCCAUAAACGAUGUUCACUAGGUGUUGGGGGGUUUCCCUCGGUGCCGCAGCUAACG